UGUUUCAUGUCAAAGACUUUUAGAAGAGAUCAAGCACAGUUGGCAUAUACCUGAUCAAAACAUUCUUUGAAAGUGCAGUUUUAUUUCAUCCAGAUGUACAAAGCAGCAGGUACAGCCGUUGGUGUUGAUAUUAUCUCUCUCUCACCACAGAAGAAACCAACAUAAAACAGGUGUGAAUCUUUGGAAACACACUCUACAUCACAUUCUCACAAGUAAUACAACAUAUCACACCAGAUAGAACAUUUUGUAUGUCUAUUUCAUUAUAUUAACGUACAUAAUUUGUCCAACUAAUAUUCUGAAAUUCAAAUGAUGAUGGAACUCGGAAGGAGACAGUGAAGUGAAUGAACAUACUGUACUCUUUUUAAAUGUUGUACUGCAAGUGAGUUAUUCUACCCCAUGAAUGAAACCUGACGCCAAAAUAAGUGUAUCAGCGUGUUUAGAAGCACAGGCAUUUGUGUUCUCAUUUUAGCACAGCCAUACAGUAUUUUGGCACAGCAACACACCGAUGGAAAGAUUCCAUGGCGGGUGUGAAAUCACAUGACUGAAACUUGAUAAUCCUUUUCACUGCCUGGCUGAGCUCAUAGAGCUAAACAACAUCAUCAUGCUUCCCACCCUCCUCACAACCAUGCUUUUUACAAGUAAGUUGUAGAGUUUACUAACAUUUUUAACAAUUACAAAGCUCAAGGCACCUCAUUAAAUAAUAUAAUUUAAAAUACUGUAUUUCUGCAAAAUUUGGGCUGUUUUGUCCUGUUUUUAAAUAUACACUACUGUUCAAAAGUUUGGGAUCAGUAAGAUUUUUUAAUGUUUUUGAAAGAAUUUGCAUAAGGCUGCAUAAUUAUAUUUGAUAAAAGAUACAGUAAAAACUAAUAGAUUGAAAUUUUAUUACAAAUUAAAAUAACUUUUUUUUAUUAUUAUUUUAAUAUACUUUAAAAUGUAAUUUAUUCCUCUAAUGGCAAAGCUGAUUUUUUACAACAGCCCAGUUCUCCAGUCUUCAGUUUCACAAAUCAUUUCAAUAUGCUUAUUUGGAUUUCUAUGCAUACUAACACUAACAUUUCUAACCUCUGUGAAUCUUGAAUCUCUAAAGUGGGAUCAGAUGCCGUCCCUUAUGCCAUCUUAUCUCCACCAUUUCAUCUGAACGCUGAUCACAGCGGCUUGACCAUCCUGGUGUGUGUGGUCCAUGACAUUCAUCAAGGAGACAUGGAGGUGGCCUGGAUUUCUAGUGGCACCAGAGGAACUAAUCCAGCAGUCUCUAACUUACUCCAAGGACACAAUGGUAUUCAGAGUGCAAUGUCUGUUAUCUCUGUGGCUUCGAAUGAAUGGACGUCCUACACUUGCUUUGUGAGUCACAGAGGCUCCGAUCAACUCACGCACAGACACUAUGCUGGAUUCCCAAAGGAGACGACCGAAAGUGCUGAUGAUGAAGAAACCUCUGAUAUUUGUUUGGACCAUCAAAGCAGUUUAUUGGAAGGUACAGUAAGAUGCAAUUUGUUAAUCCUAAGAAUUCAAUUUAGUGUUUGUUCUGUACUCAUUUCUCUACUGUUGCAGAAGUCCGAGCAAACAAAGACCUAUUACUUAUUCAAGCUCUCAGAAUUCUCCUGCUGAAAAUCACCAUUUUCAACAUUUUGAUGACAGCGCUGGCCGUCAUAAAGUGAAUUGCAGAGUUUCAAAAACAACUGUCACGGUUGUCAGAGUUAAUUGGACGUGCUGCUGAAGGAACUCAGGUUGAUGUAAAUGAGAACCUGAAUGUUGAUGAGCGUCUCGAUGAGCUGCAGACCAACAUCACGCCGCAAGACAGGUGCUUCGAUAUGGGCAGAUCAGUGUGAUAGCUGCUCAAAACCACAUCAUAUGCACAAUACAACAAAUGAACUGCACUACAAGGUUGUUUUUGUAGGCCAUGGCUUUGUAAAGUCGCCUUACACUCAUGUAACUGUUGAUCUGUAUGACAAUGAGUAACCUUUGAUGAAGCGAGAUCAUUGUGCAUAACACUCUAUCGAAGACUGAGACAAAGUUUGUUUAUAUUGAGGAGGUUUGUUUGAAUGUGACUUAAGUGCUUUAUCAAGUUUUUUUUUUUUCAUUUAUUUUUUGCCUUUAUUUCACAAUUCGUAAAAAUGCUACCAUUCAAAAGUUUGUGGUUAGUAUGAUUUUUUUAAUGUUUUUGAAAGAAAGCUGCAUUUAUUUGAUCAGAAAUACAGUAAAAACAGUAAUAUUGUGAAUUUAAAUUAUUUUUCUUCAGUGUCACGUGAUCCUUCAGAAAUCAUUCUAAUCUAAUUCUAAUCAUUCUAAUAUGCUGAUGUGCUGCUCAAGAAACAUUUCUUCCUAUUAUCAAUUUUGAAAACAGUUGUACUGUUUAAUAUUUUUGUGGAAACCGUGAUAAAUUUUCUGGAUUCUUUGAUGAAUAGAAAGUUCAAAAGAACAUCAUUUAUUUUAAAUGGGAAUGUUUUUAAAAUUAUAAAUGUCUUUACUGACAAUUUAAUGCAUCCUUGUUGAAUAAAAUAAAAUAGUUAAUAGAUAAUCUUACUGACCCAAACAUUUUGAAAGGUAGUGUAUAUUACAGAAAAAUAAUAUUAAGGAACACAUGACUAACUACAUUGGUUGCAUGUUUACAUCUCUGCUACAGUGUUACACUAUGGUACUUUUGGU